GGCAUAGGAGACAAAGGAAGCUCUCCCCUCCCCCGCGCUCUGGCGGCGACGGGGGCAGCCUGACCCGGAGGACCUGGACGAAACAGGGCGGAGAAGAAGCUCCGUCUACAGCCUCCUCAACUCCUGAUUCCACAGAAGGAGGGAACGACGACUCCGAUUUUCGGGAGUUGCACACAGCCCGGGAAUUCUCAGAGGAGGACGAGGAGGAGACCACAUCGCAGGACUGGGGCACCCCCCGGGAGCUGACCUUCUCCUACAUCGCCUUUGAUGGUGUAGUGGGCUCCGGGGGCCGCAGGGAUUCAACUGCCCGCCGCCCCCGCCCCCAGGGCCGCUCAGUCUCGGAACCACGAGACCAGCACCCUCAGCCCAGCCUGGGCGACAGCUUGGAGAGCAUCCCCAGCCUGAGCCAAUCCCCGGAGCCUGGACGCCGGGGUGAUCCUGACACCGCCCCUCCAUCCGAGCGCCCUCUGGAAGACCUGAGGCUUCGCUUGGACCAUCUGGGCUGGGUGGCCCGGGGAACGGGAUCCGGGGAGGACUCUUCCACCAGCAGCUCCACCCCGCUGGAAGACGAAGAACCAGAAGAACCUAA
rnacentral:sRNA from 1 species